rnacentral:rRNA from 1 species
UGGGGAAUUUUGGACAAUGGGGGAAACCCUGAUCCAGCCAUCCCGCGUGUGCGAUGAAGGCCUUCGGGUUGUAAAGCACUUUUGGCAGGAAAGAAACGUCGUGGGUUAAUACCCCGCGAAACUGACGGUACCUGCAGAAUAAGCACCGGCUAACUACGUGCCAGCAGCCGCGGUAAUACGUAGGGUGCAAGCGUUAAUCGGAAUUACUGGGCGUAAAGCGUGCGCAGGCGGUUCGGAAAGAAAGAUGUGAAAUCCCAGAGCUUAACUUUGGAACUGCAUUUUUAACUACCGGGCUAGAGUGUGUCAGAGGGAGGUGGAAUUCCGCGUGUAGCAGUGAAAUGCGUAGAUAUGCGGAGGAACACCGAUGGCGAAGGCAGCCUCCUGGGAUAACACUGACGCUCAUGCACGAAAGCGUGGGGAGCAAACAGGAUUAGAUACCCUGGUAGUUCACGCCCUAAACGAUGUCAACUAGCUGUUGGGGUCUUCGGACCUUGGUAGCGCAGCUAACGCGUGAAGUUGACCGCCUGGGGAGUACGUCGCAAG